GUGUCAGCCGCCGCGGUAAUACAGAGGGUGCAAGCGUUGUUCGGAAUUAUUGGGCGUAAAGCGCGUGUAGGCGGCUUGGCAAGUCGGGUGUGAAAGCCCUCAGCUCAACUGAGGAAGUGCGCCCGAAACUGCUUUGCUUGAGUGCUGGAGAGGGUCGCGGAAUUCCCCAAGUAGAGGUGAAAUUCGUAGAUAUGGGGAGGAACACCGGUGGCGAAGGCGGCGACCUGGACAGUAACUGACGCUGAGACGCGAAAGCGUGGGUAGCAAACAGGAUUAGAAACCCGAGUAGUCC
rnacentral:rRNA from 1 species